rnacentral:rRNA from 1 species
UACGUAGGUGGCAAGCGUUGUCCGGAAUUAUUGGGCGUAAAGCGCGCGCAGGCGGUCCUUUAAGUCUGAUGUGAAAGCCCACGGCUCAACCGUGGAGGGUCAUUGGAAACUGGGGGACUUGAGUGCAGAAGAGGAAAGCGGAAUUCCACGUGUAGCGGUGAAAUGCGUAGAGAUGUGGAGGAACACCAGUGGCGAAGGCGGCUUUCUGGUCUGUAACCGACGCUGAGGCGCGAAAGUGUGGGGAGCGAACAGG